UACGAAGGGUGCAAGCGUUGUUCGGAAUUAUUGGGCGUAAAGGGUUCGUAGGCGGAAGAGUAAGUUAAGUGUGAAAGACCUGGGCUUAACCUAGGAGGUGCAUUUAAGACUGCUUUUCUUGAGUAUCAGAGAGGGUGGUGGAAUUGCUGGUGUAGGAGUGACAUCCGUAGAGAUCAGCAGGAACAUCAGAGGCGAAGGCGACCACCUGGCUGAAAACUGACGCUGAGGAACGAAAGCGUGGGGAGCAAACAGG
rnacentral:rRNA from 1 species